GUCCACGCCUAACGAUGUCAACUGGUUGUUGGAGGGUUCUUCUCAGUAACGAAGCUAACGCGUGAAGUUGACCGCCUGGGAGUACGGCCGCAAGGUUGAACUCAAGGAAUUGACGGGACCCGCACAAGCGGUGGAUGAUGUGGUUUAAUUCGAUGCAACGCGAAACCUUACCUACCCUUGACAUGUCAGAGAUCCUGUAGAGAUAUGGGAGUGCUCGCAAGAGAAUCUGAACACAGGUGCUGCAUGGCCGUCGU
rnacentral:rRNA from 1 species